AGAAAGGGCGGGGUGGAGGAGGGGGAAGGGCGGGGGUGAUGCCGCGCGGUCGCAGGCUUGGGAUGGUGUUCGCGCCUCCGAGACCCGGACAGAGGCAAGCAGGGGCGCCGUGGGUGCCAGAGAGGCGGAAGAGGAGGCCUGAUGGGAGACGAGGUUUCACCAUGCUGGCCAGGAUGGUCUCGAUCUCUUGACCUUAUGAUCCGCCCGCCUCGGCCUCCCAAAGUGUUGGGAUUACAGGCGUGAGCCAUUCAACAACUAUUUAUUGCAUGCCAUCUCCAGGCCUGGAAUUAAGCUGGGUAUAAAGAACACAAUGACUAAGUCCCUGCCUCGGGCAAGUCGAGGAAGAGGGAAGAGCCUCCUUGUUCUACAGAUGGGAAGACUGGCCCAAAGGGAGUAAGCAGCUGCCCUUCAUAACUAAGUGAAUCUGACAGAACUGAUCCAAGCGUCAGCCCAGCCUCUAAACUUGGCCAUUUGAUGAACUAGAUCUAAGCACAGUUUGCAGUUCUUGCCGUGAAUCACGUAAAUGUCACUCUACCAGAAAAUGGAACUUAAGAACCAGCAUUUGUUCCUGGAGACCUGAGUUCCAACUCUUGUCUCUGCCACUAAAUAGCUUUAGUUUUCUUACUGGGGUGGGGGGAGGGGAAAGGAAAUAACUGCUUAUUCAAAGGGCUAUUGUUGGCAUUAAAUCAGGCAAUGGAUGCGAAUUUGGUCUGAAAGCAUAACCUGCUAUAUAUAAGUGUGUGCUGUUACUAUGCAGGUGGCGUGCCUUUUCUAACCUAUAAGCUGUAUUCAGGCCUCUCCCCCAGCUUAUCCCAAGCCUGGUUACUAGGUGCCCAGAAGCUAACCGUAAUUCUGCUCCCCUCAGGUUAGGCCACAAUGUGCUUACUCAUGAUGAUCUUUUCCCUCCAGUUUCUUAACAGCAUGGCCACAAGCUUAGCUCACUGCCUAGAAGCCAUGUCAUCUUUGGGGCAGGAGGGAAGCAAUUCUGGUGCCUUUCUCCUCUUCUCUUCUCUCUUUUUCUUUCUUUCUUUUCUUCCUUCCUUCUUUCCUUCCUUCCUUUCUCUCUCUUCUUGUCUUUCCAUCUUUCCUUCUCCUCUUCUUUCUUUUUCUUUCUUUCCUUUCUUCCUUCCUUCUUUCCUUCCUUCC
rnacentral:lncRNA from 1 species